rnacentral:rRNA from 1 species
UACAGAGGAUGCAAGCGUUAUCCGGAAUGAUUGGGCGUAAAGCGUCUGUAGGUGGCUUUUUAAGUCCGCCGUCAAAUCCCAGGGCUCAACUCUGGACAGGCGGUGGAAACUACCAAGCUGGAGUACGGUAGGGGCAGAGGGAAUUUCCGGUGGAGCGGUGAAAUGCGUAGAGAUUGGAAAGAACACCAAUGGCGAAAGCACUUUACUGGGCUAUCACUGACACUGAGAGACGAAAGCUAGGGUAGCAAAUGGG